GCCCUAGUACUCUCCACUCCAGUCGACUAACUCGAGGUCUCGAGUACUCGACCUCAGCCUCCCUCUCUUUGCUUGUCGAUACCGUCGAUACCAUCUCAUGAUCUCAAUCUCAGAUUCUCAGCCCCAAAUCUCAGUGACUCAGUCUCAGCCCCAAAUCUCAGUCUCAACCUCGAUCUCCAGUCCGUCGAUUCUCCCUGAGCCUUGAUGGUCUGCACUCUGCGGCAUCAAUAUCGGUUAAAAGGAAUACCGGUGGGAUAGAUCUUAGUUGGGAUUAAUUUCGAGUUGCAGAGAGUUGUCAUGGAGUUCUAGACCUGUUGAGCAUGGGAGCCGGUCGAGCAGCAAUUUGUGCAAAACGGGAGGAUUGUGUUCAUGUUUCUGUUGCAGUUGUAGUACCAUUCAAACUUUGAAUUUCAAAUGAUUGAACACAUAGUUGAAAUGAUUGAAUAAUUUGGAUUGUUUUCUGUUGGGCAAUGGACAAUGUAUUUGUGAGUUUGUGUUGUAAACUAUAUAAAUUUGUACCAAAAUGA
rnacentral:lncRNA from 1 species